rnacentral:rRNA from 1 species
AUUGAACGCUGGCGGUAUGCUUUACACAUGCAAGUCGAACGGUAACAGGCCGCAAGGUGCUGACGAGUGGCGAACGGGGGAGUAAUGCAUCGGAACGUGCCCAGUCGUGGGGGAUAACUACUCGAAAGAGUAGCUAAUACCGCAUACGAUCUAUGGAUGAAAGCGGGGGACCGUAAGGCCUCGCGCGAUUGGAGCGGCCGCUGUCAGAUUAGGUAGUUGGUGGGGUAAAGGCUCACCAAGCCAACGAUCUGUAGCUGGUCUGAGAGGACGACCAGCCACACUGGGACUGAGACACGGCCCAGACUCCUACGGGAGGCAGCAGUGGGGAAUUUUGGACAAUGGGCGCAAGCCUGAUCCAGCAAUGCCGCGUGCAGGAAGAAGGCCUUCGGGUUGUAAACUGCUUUUGUACGGAACGAAACGGCUCUGGUUAAUACCCGGGGCUAAUGACGGUACCGUAAGAAUAAGCACCGGCUAACUACGUG